CCCCCCCCCCCCCCCCCCCCCCCCCCCCCCCCCCCCCCCCCCCCCCCCCCCCCCCCCCCCCCCCCCCCCCCCCCCCCCCCCCCCCCCCUGCCCGGUGCCGCCCCCCUCGGCUCCAGGCCCGGGCACUCCCCUCCUCCAAAUCCUCCUCCUCCAAAUCCUCCUCCUCCUCCUCUGCCGCCUUCCCCACGUGCCACGCGCAGUCCUGGGAUCCACAACUCCAGGAACCCAUAAAUUCAGGAAAUUGUGGAUCCACAAAUCCAGGAAUCCAGAAAUUCAGGAAACCCUGGAUCCACAAAUCCAGGAAUCCAGAAAUUCAGGAAACCCUGGAUCCAUAAAUCCAGGAAUUCAUGGAUCCACAAAACCAGGAAUCUCUCGAUCCUCAAAUCCAUGGACGCCCAAAUCCAGGAAUCUGUGGAUCAACAAAUCCAGGAGUUUGUGCAUCCACAAAUCCAGAGAUCCGCGGAUCCAGGAAUCCACAAAUUCAGGAAUUCAUGGAUCCUCAAAUCCACAAAUCCAGGAAUUCAUGGAUUCACAAAUCCCCAAAUCCAGGAAUCUGUGGAGUCACAAAUCCAGGAAUCUGUGGAUCCACAAAUCCAGGAAUUCAUGGAUUCACAAAUCCUCAAAUCCAGGAAUUCAUGCAUCCAUCCACAAAUCCAGGAAUCCCACAUCCAGGAAUUUGUGGAUCCAGGAAUCCACGGAUCUCCAAAUCCAGGAAUCCAUAAAUUCAGGAAUUCAUGGAUGCCUGGAUGUGUGGAUCCACAGAUUCCUGGAUGGGAAAUUCCCUGGAUUGGGAAAUUCAGGAAUUUGUGGAUCCACAAAUCCAGGAAUCCGUGGAUCCAGGAAUCCAUGGAUCCCACAGUGUGGGUUUUUUGGGACGUUUUGGGAUGAAGAGAGGAUUUUUUGGGAAAAGGAAGAGGAAAAGUUAAUUUGUGUCCGGGUUUGGCAGUUCCGGUUUUUCCCCCCCCCCCCCCCCCCCCCCCCCCCCCCCCCCCCCCCCCCCCCCCCC
rnacentral:lncRNA from 1 species